AUCAGGCCAGAAGAAGAAAAGAGGAGCAGGCAGCCCGCAGGGGCGGAGGUUCAGAGGAGAAGGAUAUCUACGAGGAGUUUCUGACUCAGAAGGAGAUCCAGAAGAAUAUUGACAUAGUGAACAUUCGCUCAGCAGUGGAGCAUGUGGAUGAAGCUUUGGAUUCUUCGGAUGAACUCGCUCUGCUCGCCGCUCUGCAGCU